AUGACACCACUCCCACUGCAACCAUGGAGACCAGUUUAUGGGAGGCAGUGUUUGUUGUUGUUUUUUAAUUUCCCCUCCUUCCCUCCCUCCCUCCCUUCUUCCUCUCUUUCCCACCUUCUUUCUUCUCUCCCUCCUUCUCUUCCUUCCUUCCUCCCUCUCCCCCUCCAUCUUUCUCUUCCUCCUUCCCUCCCUCCUUUUUUCUUCCUCCCUCCUUUUCUUCCUUCCUUCCCUCCCUCCCUUCUUUCACCUUUUUUUGUAGAAAACAUCAGCCUAACCCAUUCCCACCUGUCAGGAAUCAUUCCCUGGCCUUUCAGCUCCUUCCCAGAACUAUUUGGCAACUGGACAUCCUGCAGGAGAAUCAGAGGUGGGAAAGCAAAGAGACUGAACAUCUGUUACCUAAGGAAGAAGCCAGCAGUCAGGAUGAAAUCUGGAACUGCUGAGCUGGUGUGGGAGCCACUGAGCUGGUGUCUAGGGAGGCAAAGCUGCCCUUGUUACAAAAUGGUACCUGGAUGGGAGAGUACAGCCUGGUUCUCUUUCCAUUACAUGCCCCCAACACAGGUUUACUGGGAAGAGAACAUGAGGCUGUUCCUCUUGCUGCCGGAGGAGGAACCAAGGCCGGCAAACCGGGGAUUGUCUUGUCUGGUGAGAAGUGGGGCCUUUUCUCCACGGUGGCUGAGAAGGUAUCUUCUUUUUCUAUUGCUGCUGUAACAAAUUACAAUAGAAAAUUAACAAAUUACCAUACACUCAGCAGCUUAUGACUGAGUGUAAAAUAGCGAAUCUAUUUUACAAUAAAUCCCCUACAUAUGAAUGAGUUCCA
ensembl:lncRNA